rnacentral:rRNA from 1 species
UACGUAGGGGGCAAGCGUUGUCCGGAUUUAUUGGGCGUAAAGAGCUCGUAGGCGGUUCCGUAAGUCGGAUGUGAAAACUCGGGGCUCAACCCCGAGACGCCAUCCGAUACUGCGGUGACUUGAGUCUGGUAGGGGAACACGGAAUUCCUGGUGUAGCGGUGAAAUGCGCAGAUAUCAGGAGGAACACCGAUGGCGAAGGCGGCAUUCUGGACCAAUAUUGACGCUGAGGAGCGAAAGCCAGGGGAGCAAACGGG